CUUGAGUUCUGCUGCCCCCUCACCCCCUCCCUCCAAGCUGCUGGAAUUGAAAACCCAGGAGUUUGGGAUCGCUCAACAGGAGAUUCUGCUCCAGGUCACCCCCUGCUUGGUUGUAGGGUCCUGAGCCUUCUUAGGCGAGGAACCCGAGGAAUCUCUGGGUCAGAAUCUAAGCAGGCCACUGCCGCAAAGCAUCGAAUGCAUCAUGAUCUUCAUUUUACUCUCAAGAAACUGAGGCCCAAGGAGUGAAGCGACUAAGCCAAGAUCAACAGAAAGAAGGGGCCGAGGAAGGCAGUUGACAUGUUGUGAAGACACUGGAAUUUCUGCCAACGACCAAAACUGAUAUGCCAAGCAAGUAAGCGAGCCACCUUAGAAGGAAAUCCUCCAGCCUCAGGCGAGUCUACAGAAAACUGCAGCACUGCCUGACAUUUUGACUGGAAUCACACAAAAAACCCAAGCCAGGAUUACCCACCUAAGUCACUCCUGAAUUCCUUACCCACAGAAACUGUGAGGGUAACAGAUGUUUAUCAUUGUUCUAACCCACUAUGCUUUGGGGAAAUGUGUUAUGUAUGCAGCAAAAAAUAACUAGUACACUGGGAUACAGGACAGGUAACGAGGAAGAAGCUAGCCUUGGAGAAGUGGUGUACCCCAGAAAUAAAGGUUGAAAAUGGAUGCUCUAAGAGUUCCGUCUAGGGAUGGGAAAAAGAGGAAGUUAAGUUUGAUGACCAGUAUUUUCUCUAGAGAAUAAGAGGCAAAGCUAUCUGCUGAAACUAAGGAUGGGAAGUAGGGACUAUAAAUUUGAGAAUAAUAAAAAGGGUGCAGUGGUCAUCAGGUAAAUCUGAAAAAGCCAAACAGGAAUGACUAUCUGAAUUAAGAAAUCGUACACCUGCAGUGCAGUCAGCUGGCAUCCUGACGUGCUUUUCUACCACUGUGCUCAAUGACCCAGAGGAGAUAGAGUAUAAGAGGUGGUGAGUUUCACCUGACUGGGGAACUGGCGAAGCAGAGAUAGUAAAACAACAAUGGAGUCAAAAAAACUCAGGGUGCUGAUUUAGGCCACUGAAGUGACUGACCAGGAAGUCCAAGCUGGCAGACAUGGAAAUGAAUUCGGGAGGAAACUCAUAGCCUGGGAGAAUGAGAGGUUGAAUGCAAAUUACCAUUUAGGGAAACAGGAUGCGUCUAGAGGCCAAAAGCAGUAAAUUAGAAAUCAAAAGUCCCGAGAUAUGGUCACAGCCAGUACUAACAAGCCAUGGAUCCUUAGCAAAGAUAACAUUUUUGAGGCCUCUUUUUCCUCCACCCGGAUUAAAGUACGUAAAAUGCCAAGAACGAUUAGUGACUUGCCUACAGUAAGCACUCUGUAACUAUAUACUAAUUGUUGCUAAUGUCUUAAAAUUUUAUACUAUUUAAUACACACAUAUGAAGCAUAAGAUAAAUACCAGGAGGGGUGCCUGGGUGGCUCAGUUGACUAAUGGACUGCUUUCAGCUCAGGUCAUGAUCCUGGGGUCCUGGGAUCAAGCCCCACAUCUGGCUCUCUGCUUAGCAGGGAACCUGCUUCUCCCUGUCCCUCUGCCUGCCACUCUCCCUGUUUGUGCUCUGUCAAAAAAUAAAUAAAAUCAUAAAAAGUAAAAGAAAGAUAAAUACCCGGAAACCUACCACCCAACUUAUUGAACAGAAUAUUAAUACGCUGUUUUUUCCUUAUCCCAUCCCCCUGGCUUCUCCCCUGAAGAUAACCAGUGUCUUGAAUUUCGUGUUUAUCAUUUUCUUUCCUUUUUUUUUUUUAAUGUUAGGUUCCACAUUUGUACAGGCCUCUUUCUUCGUAUGUAAGACGGAGCUUUGGAUUAGGUGCUCUCUAAGCUCCCUUCCAGCUCCAAGGGUAUAUGAGAUAUGAUGGGUGGGCAUCAAAAUUACUCACCUAGUGGAAUCAUAUAAUAAAUGCUUAUUUUUCAAGGGUUUUAUAGAGCUAACGCACUGACUUUUCUGUUGAAAUCUCCAAUUCAACGAAAGGGUAUCUCAAUGGAGUUUCUAAUCUCAAGAUCAAGACUUUCCAUCACUUUCAAUUUGUGCCUCUGCUAGAAAGUUCAACCCUAGAGAAAACCAACACAAGGACCUAAAUAAUCUAAGCCCCUGACCCUGUUCAGUGAAAACCAGAAACCCAAGCCUGAGGAAAUAGAACUGAAACAGUUGAACUAGGAAAGCAUAUUUAUUUCAAUGACAAGUAUUUUAAUAAAAGUGAGGAGGCAGGUCUGGGUUCAUAUGCAAUUUUUCAUGCAACCUGGAUUUAUUUCCUCCAUAAAAAUGUGUGUGCAUGUAUAAAAUAAAACUAAACUUGCCUUC